UCUUCCUUGGUCUAGUGGUCAUGAUUUCCGCUUGUCAUCGUCCUUCGGGUACAAGCGCGGGAGACCGGGGUUCGAUUCCCCGAGGGAGAG